AGCAGCCGCGGUAAUUCCAGCUCCAAUAGCGUAUAUUAAAGUUGUUGCAGUUAAAAAGCUCGUAGUUGAAUUUCGGGAUUGACACAUCGGUCGUGCCUUAAGGGGUAUGAACUGGUGUAGUCAAUUUCUCACCUUCUGGAGAACCACGAUGCCCUUAAUUGGGUGUCGCGGGGAACCAGGACCUUUACUUUGAAAAAAUUAGAGUGUUUAAAGCAGGCAUUUUUGCUUGAAUACAUUAGCAUGGAAUAAUAAAAUAGGACGGCAUGAUUCUAUUUUGUUGGUUUCUAGGAUCACCGUAAUGAUUAAUAGGGGAUAGUUGGGGGCAUUAGUAUUCAAUUGUCAGAGGUGAAAUUCUUGGAUUUAUUGAAGACUAACUACUGCGAAAGCAUUUGCCUAAGGAUGUUUUCAUUAAUCAAGAACGAAAGUUAGGGGAUCGAAGACGAUCAGAUACCGUCGUAGUCUUAACCAUAAACUAUGCCGACUAGGAAUCAGACGAUGUAAUUUUUAAUGACUCGUUUGG
rnacentral:rRNA from 1 species